GUGCCAGCAGCCGCGGUAAUACGUAGGUGGCAAGCGUUAUCCGGAUUUAUUGGGCGUAAAGCGAGCGCAGACGGUUCGAUAAGUCUGAAGUGAAAGCCCACAGCUCAACUGUGGAAGUGCUUUGGAAACUGUCGAACUUGAGUACAGAAGAGGAAAGUGGAACUCCAUGUGUAGCGGUGAAAUGCGUAGAUAUAUGGAAGAACACCAGUGGCGAAGGCGGCUUUCUGGUCUGUUACUGACGCUGAGGCUCGAAAGCAUGGGUAGCGAACAGGAUUAGAUACCCUGGUAGUCCAUGCCGUAAACGAUGAAUACUAGGUGUUGGAGGGUUUCCGCCCUUCAGUGCCGCAGCUAACGCAUUAAGUAUUCCGCCUGGGGAGUACGACCGCAAGGUUGAAACUCAAAGGAAUUGACGGGGGCCCGCACAAGUGGUGGAGCAUGUGGUUUAA
rnacentral:rRNA from 1 species